UACGGAGGGUGCGAGCGUUGUCCGGAAUCACUGGGCGUAAAGGGCGCGUAGGCGGCCUGAUAAGUAGGGGGUGAAAUCCUGCGGCUUAACCGCAGGGCUGCCUUCUAAACUGUCAGGCUCGAGCACAGUAGAGGCAGGUGGAAUUCCCGGUGUAGCGGUGGAAUGCGUAGAGAUCGGGAAGAAUACCUGUGGCGAAGGCGGCCAGCUGGGCCAGAUCCGACACUGAGGCGCGAAAGCGUGGGGAGCAAACAGG
rnacentral:rRNA from 1 species